rnacentral:piRNA from 1 species
UGUACUCAGAAGAGCUCAAAUUUGAGAAGUGA